rnacentral:lncRNA from 1 species
UUUCUCUAACAUAUGUGUGGAAGGCCUAGUUCAGUUCCAUGAAGGGUCCCUGGUUGGCAGUUCAGUCUCUAGAAUUUCCUUUAAUUUUUGUUCCAAAGGCAGUGUCCAUGAUAGCAGGAGAAGCACAGCAGCAGGAACCGGAAGCUAAGAGAUGACCUCUCCAUUGUGCACAGGAAGCAGGGAGAGUGAGAAGGAAGUGGCACAGGCAACAAAUUCUCUAAGGACAUUUCCCUACUAUGAUACUCCCGCAAAGCUCCAUGUAAUAAAAUUCCAUAACCUUCCC